ACAUGCAAGUCGUACGAGAAAGUCCGCUUCGGCGGGCGAGUAAAGUGGCGCACGGGUGAGUAACGCGUGGGUAAUCUACCUCCGUGACCGGGAUAACUUCGCGAAAGCGUGGCUAAUACCGGAUAUUGUCUCCGGGGCCCUGGCCCUGGAGAUGAAAAGUGGGGAUCCGCUUCGGCGGGCCUGCUGUGCGGGGAUGAGCCCGCGUACCAUUAGCUAGUUGGUGGGGUAAUGGCCUACCAAGGCUACGAUGGUUAGCUGGUCUGAGAGGAUGAUCAGCCACACUGGCACUGAAACACGGGCCAGACUCCUACGGGAGGCAGCAGUGAGGAAUUUUGCGCAAUGGGGGCAACCCUGACGCAGCAACGCCGCGUGAGUGAUGAAGGCCUUCGGGUCGUAAAGCUCUGUCAGGUGGGACGAAACGCCUGGAGGUGAAUAGCCUUUAGGCCUGACGGUACCGCCAGAGGAAGCACCGGCCAACUCCGUGCCAGCAGCCGCGGUAAUACGGAGGGUGCAAGCGUUGUUCGGAAUCAUUGGGCGUAGAGGGCGCGUAGGCGGUCCUGUAAGUCGGAUGUGAAAGCCCUGGGCUCAACCAGGAAGUGCAUCCGAAGUGCUGGACUGAGUAUGGUAGAGGGAAGUGGAAUUCCUGGUGUAGCGGUGAAAUGCGUAGAGAUCAGGAAGAACACCGGUAGCGAAGGCGACUUCCUGGACCAUCACUGACGCUGAGGCGCGAAAGCGUGGGGAGCAAACAGGAUUAGAUACCCUGGUAGUCCACGCUGUAAACGAUGGGCACUAGGUGUUGGUCCGCCUCAGGCGGAUCAGUGCCGCAGCUAACGCAUUAAGUGCCCCGCCUGGGGAGUACGAUCGCAAGGUUGAAACUCAAAGGAAUUGACGGGGGCCCGCACAAGCGGUGGAGCAUGUGGUUUAAUUCGAUGCAACGCGAAGAACCUUACCUGGGCUUGAA
rnacentral:rRNA from 1 species